AUGAACGCUAGCGACAGGCUUAACACAUGCAAGUCGAGGGGCAGCACAGGUAGCAAUACCGGGUGGCGACCGGCGCACGGGUGAGUAACGCGUAUGCAACUUACCUAUCAGAGGGGAAUAACCCGGCGAAAGUCGGACUAAUACCGCAUGAAGCAGGGGCCCCGCAUGGGGAUAUUUGCUAAAGAUUCAUCGCUGAUAGAUAGGCAUGCGUUCCAUUAGGCAGUUGGCGGGGUAACGGCCCACCAAACCGACGAUGGAUAGGGGUUCUGAGAGGAAGGUCCCCCACAUUGGUACUGAGACACGGACCAAACUCCUACGGGAGGCAGCAGUGAGGAAUAUUGGUCAAUGGGCGUAAGCCUGAACCAGCCAAGUCGCGUGAGGGAUGAAGGUUCUAUGGAUCGUAAACCUCUUUUAUAAGGGAAUAAAGUGCGGGACGUGUCCCGUUUUGUAUGUACCUUAUGAAUAAGGAUCGGCUAACUCCGUGCCAGCAGCCGCGGUAAUACGGAGGAUCCGAGCGUUAUCCGGAUUUAUUGGGUUUAAAGGGUGCGUAGGCGGCCUUUUAAGUCAGCGGUGAAAGUCUGUGGCUCAACCAUAGAAUUGCCGUUGAAACUGGGAGGCUUGAGUAUGUUUGAGGCAGGCGGAAUGCGUGGUGUAGCGGUGAAAUGCUUAGAUAUCACGCAGAACCCCGAUUGCGAAGGCAGCCUGCCAAGCCAUGACUGACGCUGAUGCACGAAAGCGUGGGGAUCAAACAGGAUUAGAUACCCUGGUAGUCCACGCAGUAAACGAUGAUCACUAGCUGUUUGCGAUACAGUGUAAGCGGCACAGCGAAAGCGUUAAGUGAUCCACCUGGGGAGUACGCCGGCAACGGUGAAACUCAAAGGAAUUGACGGGGGCCCGCACAAGCGGAGGAACAUGUGGUUUAAUUCGAUGAUACGCGAGGAACCUUACCCGGGUUUGAACGCAUUCGGACCGAGGUGGAAACACCUUUUCUAGCAAUAGCCGUUUGCGAGGUGCUGCAUGGUUGUCGUCAGCUCGUGCCGUGAGGUGUCGGCUUAAGUGCCAUAACGAGCGCAACCCUUGCCACUAGUUACUAACAGGUAAAGCUGAGGACUCUGGUGGGACUGCCAGCGUAAGCUGCGAGGAAGGCGGGGAUGACGUCAAAUCAGCACGGCCCUUACAUCCGGGGCGACACACGUGUUACAAUGGCGUGGACAAAGGGAAGCCACCUGGCGACAGGGAGCGAAUCCCCAAACCACGUCUCAGUUCGGAUCGGAGUCUGCAACCCGACUCCGUGAAGCUGGAUUCGCUAGUAAUCGCGCAUCAGCCAUGGCGCGGUGAAUACGUUCCCGGGCCUUGUACACACCGCCCGUCAAGCCAUGGGAGCCGGGGGUACCUGAAGUCCGUAACCGCGAGGAUCGGCCUAGGGUAAAACUGGUGACUGGGGCU
rnacentral:rRNA from 1 species